ensembl:lncRNA
UCAGCAUUAAACCUAAGUAAUUUCCUUUAGGCAAGAGAAGAUGGCGGUGACACAUGUUACAGUGAGAAAAAUCGAUGAACGCAUGUGCAUCGAAGGCGAAGAAUUCAGAGUUGGAAGUUUGUAUCGUUGUCCUUUUUGUCCAACUAGUGUUUUUAAACCACGGGAGAGACACAAGGUGUUCACUCAUUUACAAAGCCACAGAUUUCGAGCGGUUCAUCAUGAACAUUUGCUAAUCUUCGACUGUCACUUGGAGUGCAGAUAAUACAAGCAUUAUCACUGCUGCCACUGCCCCACAACAAUAAUAAAUAAGGCAGAUUUUAUCAAGCACAUAAAUGUUUGUAAACAUUCAGCUCCGCAGGCCAGCUAUACAGUGCCUUCUGCUGCUCAGAGCGUCCAGAUGACUCCUCAGUCCAGCUAUACAGUGCCUUCUGCUGCUCAGAGCGUCCAGAUGACUCCUCAGGCCAGCUAUACAGUGCCUUCUGCUGCUCAGAGCGUCC